rnacentral:rRNA from 1 species
CUUGGUCAUUUAGAGGAAGUAAAAGUCGUAACAAGGUUUCCGUAGGUGAACCUGCGGAAGGAUCAUUACCAAUAUGAAAGCGAAUGGGGAACCACAGCAACAUGGGCUUCGGGCUGAGUUGUCUGCCCCAUUCUGCUGAAUUAUUCACCCAUGUCUUUUGCGUACUAUUUGUUUCCUUGGUGGGCUUGCCUGCCAAUAGGACAAAAUUAAACCUUUUGUAAUUGCAAUCAGCGUCAGAAAACUUUAAUAGUUACAACUUUCAACAACGGAUUUCUUGGUUCUGGCAUCCAUGAAGAACGCAGCGAAAUGCAAUAAGUAGUGUGAAUUGCACAAUUCACUGAAUCAUCGAAUCUUUGAACGCACAUUGCGCCCCUUGGUAUUCCAUGGGGCAUGCCUGUUCGAGCGUCAUUCGUACCCUCAAGCUUUGCUUGGUGUUGGGCGUCUUGUCCUCUUUGGAGGACUCGCCUCAAAACAAUUGGCAGCCGGCAUAUUGGUAUCGGAGCGCAGCACAAGUCGCACUUCAUUCCAUGAAUGUUGGCAUCCAUCAAUACUAUUUUUCACUCUUGACCUCGGAUCAGGUAGGGAUACCCGCUGAACUUAAGCAUAUCAAUAAGCGGAGGA